rnacentral:ribozyme from 14 species
GAAGGAAACAAAAAAAAAAAAAACAAGAGUCCUGGUUUCAUAGUUUGUCGAACGUCUUCCAUUUUCAUUUCAUUUUUUUUUUUUUUCAUU